UACAGAGGUCUCAAGCGUUGUUCGGAUUCAUUGGGCGUAAAGGGUGCGUAGGCGGCGGGGCAAGUCGGAUGUGAAAUCCCGGGGCUCAACCCUGGAACUGCACUCGAUACUGCUCUGCUAGAGAACUGGAGAGGAGACUGGAAUUUACGGUGUAGCAGUGAAAUGCGUAGAUAUCGUAAGGAAGACCAGUGGCGAAGGCGAGUCUCUGGACAGAUUCUGACGCUGAGGCACGAAGGCCAGGGGAGCAAACGGG
rnacentral:rRNA from 1 species